UAUUCCUAUCCGAGGAACCUUGUUGGUUGCUGGUUUGAGGUUGCGUUUUAGUGAAGGGGAGGAGGGGGAAGGGCUUCGCCGCCGGAGGAGCGGCCCGCUGGGAAGAGGCUGGAGAGACCGCCCCUUCCGAGCCGCAAAGAACCGAAGGGCCGCCUCUCUAGGGUGGAGAGAACAGGAGGCAGGCGUUCUAGUGCCAUAAUGCCGGACCUUUCUUGGGGUUCUUUGUUUGGCACUAGAGACCUCCGGCCAGGGCUCGAUGGCCGCCAACUAAGCGCCAGCUACGCUAGCGAACUGCACCGCCCCCGCCUCUCCAGCCUAGUCGUCUUGGCGUUCUUCGGCGCGGCGCUCUGCCUCUACGGGGAUCGGCCGAGGUAGCAGCGGCCGUCGUCGCCACUGACGCCUCCGUAACUCCUUAGACCACCCACAGAGUCGUACGCCCACCUCCUAUAGCACGUCGUGGGGGACGGACCGAUGCCCCGCGGCCACCGCGAGUCGAAAUCGGGGCUGCUGGCCGCUCACCGGAAGAACAUGUCGGGGCUGCCGUGCGAGGUGGCGUUCCACAAGUGGAAGCUGGGGCGGUUCCCGGCGGUCCUCGACGAGAAGCGAGGGGGACUGCCGCCGCCCGAGCUCCUCUCGUUAGAUAGGCGGCUCCUCGCCGAUGCGGCGCUCGCAAGGGCCCUCGCACCGGAACCCCAGUGAGCCAUGCUCACCGCACGGGCAGCGAGACCGCCGGGGAGAAGAGCACGCCCGUAACAGCACGGAGAGGGAAGUCCCCAAAUGAAAGUCCUGGACAGACCGAGACUUGGUCAUGAGUUCGAUGUUUCAAGAAGGUGUAGUGGUUAAUAACUGGGUGUAGAUAGAGGUCUACCCUGGUACUAACGUAUACAGUCCCUACUACUUGACGUCACGUUCUGUAUAUUGAAACCAAAACUACUACCACUUUGAUUCGUUAACUGGAUGCCACGUUCUCUUUCACCUUUCCAGGUACCUGAACGACUCAUAUAACGAGUCCUUCUCUACCUUUCCUUCUACCCUAAGACCACCAGAGGACUAUUACGAGUUCUUCUAGUACGAAUAGGUAAACGACCUCGUCGAUUACAAUUUCACGCUGAACCUCAACAAAGAAGGCCACCUCCUCUCCAUUGAACCUACCUAGAGGAAACGCCUCUUGGUUUACCUCGUGUACCACUACUUCUUAUAGAUCGAUCCCAAUUGACCUACGUAGUAUUACGAGAACGACAAGUUCAAGAGUUAUCUCGAGUGUGUUUUGAAUUCGAUGAAUUCAAACUAUAACGGUGGCCAUUUUCCCUUCAGAAUGAACUUCUUCUCGUACUAUAUACCUAUUGUAACGUACUAACAAAGUGAGGAGAUCUGUUACCUCACUCAUCAUUUGUAGGUCCACCCAAAUAAACCCGGUCACUCUUCUGUCCUAAAUCUGUGAACAUAGAAGUACUGUUCUUACCACUCACGAAUCCGGGAUAGUGCGUUCCACUGACCAACCAGCUGGUUUAACGACCACAGUUACUCUCAAGACCUGAAUAUAUAAAAUGACCUUGUGACCUACCUGGUAACCUCUGUUUAGACAUGACGUGGUUGGAGAAAGGACUAACCUCGGAAGGUAAUGUUCGGGGAUUCUCCAACUGAGCACCUUGACCCGCCGUAAGACAUUAAGAACUGGUAGUCAACGAUUCCAAAUAACUACACAUACUGAGUCAUUUUAGUGGUGGACACUAGGACAACACAAGAAACGAACUACCUUCACAUUAUUACGGAGACAUACUCGUCGGUGAUUGUCAAGUCGGUGAAUUUUUCAAAGUCGUCGACAGAGGUCUCUACCAGGUCAAAUGUCCCUUCCUACCCUGAAGUAAAAUACCUUGAGAGAUAGAAGGGCUACUCUUCUUUAUACCUGGCGGAGGGAUGUUUUGUGAACAAUUACAAAUACCACCAGGGUCACAGGUCGAGCAAUCACUAAGUACCUAAUCGUGACAACUGUACUCCCGAGUCAUAGACGCUUCAUUCCCUUAUAAUCAGACCUUCUACCUGUUGGCCCCUAGACGUGCCGCUCCAAACGUAAAACUCCCUGUCGAAUUCAUGUUGUAACCAGCACAGCUACGACUCCUAGUUGAUCGACCAUGACUCACCAAUUAUUUCGUUCCGGAACGCUUCGGACCUGUAUAACCAGACAUACCGACCUCAAUGCCACCAAAAGAGAGCCGCUACACGGAUAGUUCCAAAAGGCUGUGUAAGACGACGCGACACAGACCACGGGGUCACUGACGUACCCUGCCCAUGCUAUGGAAAAUGUGUCUCUUCAUGGACCCAGACGGGAGUCUCGUAUCACUACGAAUGCUCAUGCCCAGUUAGUACGUGGUACACUUCUUAGAGUCCCCCUUCGACGAGGAGUAGGUGCCCUACUAACUGCUCUUGCACGUAAAAUCCGUGUGCCGAUCCGAGUAGUUGUCAAACUACCGCCUUGCGUUCAGCAUGCUCUAGGAGGAGAAGGGACUGCUCUCCGUGUACGGUGCGGUCGAUCUGCUGGCCUAGAUAUACCUCCUCUCCUAGACCCUAAAACACCUCUCUUCGGAUACUCUCACCCUCUUUUAAGUAGACAUCUUUAGACGGCAACGGGACACAUUGAAAUUGCACCUAUCAACCAUACUAUAGCACCUGAAGUAAAGUAAAGGGCAGUAGACAUAAAUAGGCGUUCACGUCCCUGUACGUACUAAGAACAGACGCUAUUGCUGGCAUUACCAGUCGACGAGACCAACGUCUCACUUAUUAGGUUAAAAAAAGUACACUACAACCUUGAAGUUGUGGUCCACUCUUACAAUAAACCAGAAC
rnacentral:rRNA from 1 species